rnacentral:lncRNA from 1 species
AACUAAACAAAUGUUUGGAGCUAAUCUUAAAAGGGAAGGCGAAAGGAUAUGACAAACAAUUCUUUUUUUGUUUCCCACAAGGAGUUUGAUUUGAAUACAUUUUUGACAAACUUGAGGACUCACGGUGAUCUUUCCCCUAUGCUUCGAUUCUUUUAGUCAGAAGAUCAGAGUCAGGGUUGCAUAGUGUUGUUUAAAGUAGUCCUGAUUUGGGUUGAAUUACCAAAUAUGCGUAGCUCCAUUGGAAAUGCAUAAGACUCGGUAAAGUAACAAGCAGAUUACCUGAAGUUGUAGAUACUUCGUUUUCUCCUUGAAUGUGUUCAAUUUGAUACUAGUCCAUCCAUCCAUAGAGCUAACAGUAAGUGUAGCAGUCCUCUGUAAUAUAAUCACAUAGGAAGUUUGACAAGAACACUCGGGAUUCGGUCCCCAGAAGAAACCUUUAGGAUCCUGUUUACAUUAAUUGGUUCUUCCUUCUGAAGUAAGAAAGGUAAAUCUUGAGAAUAGAGAAAUCAAUUAUUUUUAUUUAAACUAAUUAUUUUUUAAUGGUACAAGUUCAUGUUAAGACUUUUUUUCCUUCUGUUUCUAAUAAUUUGACUUUGGUCCACCAGAUGUCUCUUUUCCUUCCAUCUUUUUAUUUUUGUUUUUAUUAUUUAUUGUUGCAAAUUUCCGAGGAGUAUGAAACACGUGGUAGAUAAAUUCUGAUCUUAGCUUUGGAUAGAUAACAUGAGAGGUAGUGAACGUACCAUUUGAAGAAUUCUGCCGAUUUGUUGUGGGAUCCCGACUGCAGACAAUUCAAAAAUGGCAGUUCAUGGAAACACGUUGCAUUUAUAUAGCAAAGAUUUAAAUAAUAGCAACCUUCAACUUGUUUCUCUGGAUUGCCCAGUCUGCAAUAAGGAUCUUUUGGUAUAGGCAUCCUCCUGGAUUGAAAACAUGUUUUGUCUUCUCCUGGUGGCCCACAAUAACAUACCAAAAUGGUUUGAAUAACCUAUGAAAUCCUUAGUUCGUGUGUGUGAGAAGGAAACAUGGAAUAAAACAAAGAUUUCACAGUCAUUCAGCAAAGAAGUUUUGGUUGGGAGGCCUUUUUUUCUUCUUGUGCUUUUUUUUGCCACUAGCCAUUGGAAAUCUUAUUUCUUCUCUCUCUAAAGACAGAAGGAGUCAUAGGCGGAAAGGCAACGUGAAGUGGGACAAAAACUUGACCAUCUACCUCUCUAGCUCCAACUGUCUAUGCUUCUUCUUUUUAUCUUACAUAAUAUGAUUUUGAGUGGUUAAGCAGAGAAGAUGACCCUGUGCCACCCAAAUAAUGCCUCUAUGAUUGACUUGUUCACCUUAACUUCCAUAUGAUGCCUCCAUGAGAUGGACCAUAUACCACACGUGUGUUGGUCCCCACACAAGUUUUUAUGAAUAGUAAGCGGG